rnacentral:rRNA from 1 species
UACAGAGGUCCCGAGCGUUGUUCGGAUUCACUGGGCGUAAAGGGUGCGUAGGUGGCGAGGAAAGUCGGAUGUGAAAGCUCGGAGCUCAACUCCGAAAUGGCAUUGGAAACUACCUUGCUCGAGGGUUGGAGGGGGGACUGGAAUGCUUGGUGUAGCAGUGAAAUGCGUAGAUAUCAAGCGGAACACCAGUGGCGAAGGCGAGUCCCUGGACAACUCCUGACACUGAGGCACGAAAGCUAGGGGAGCAAACAGG